rnacentral:lncRNA from 1 species
GCGGCCGCCAUCUUGUUGUUGAUUCGAACGGCGGGGAGCGGGCGGCGGCGCUGGGGGCUCGGGGUUGGCAGCCCCCGGCCGGGCAGGCGGAGCCGCCCCGAGGCUGCGUGCGGCGAGGAGCCCUCGGAGCGCGGCGGUGCCAUGAGAGCGGCAUGCCUGAUGUUAUUGCGGUGCUGCCAUCUUUCCCAGCGUCCAGCUGAACAGGAAUGCAAGCUGGAAGAGGCUGUCUGAGCUGCUGACUUUGGUUACCCUUGCUGGCAGACAGCUGCAUAACAGAUGUUCUCAAAGUGUUGUAUAGCACCUGCUCCAUAUGUUGCAAACGGUCACAGACGUUUCCUGGUGCCCUGCUGUGUGCUAGGGCUUGUCAUUUAAAAAAGUACAAUAAAAUAAAGAGAAGCUUUCACUGUAAGGUCCCAUUGUGAGAAAGCAAGAAUUCUCUUGGCCUUGGAUCCGGCAAGGGAUGCAAGUACCUCAUCCCCCCUGAAUGCACUCUGUGCCUUACGCAUAGGUGACAGCAGAAUGCCUUUGUAGUUCCUCUAAUGAAACAGCCUUCUUUAAUCCCAGAUCUAGGUAGCAGUUCUGUUGGUUGUUUGAGCAUUCCAGCCUUAGUUAAGACUGCAUAGCUCAACCAUUUUUGCUUCAGGAGAAGCUGAAAAGGCUUGGCUUCCUCUGCUUUGUUAGGAAGAGAGCAGAAAAUGUGUGGUCUCAUAGGCUACAGGCAGAGGUGCUAGAGCUCUGUGAUGACUGGGAUCUAAGUAGGACACAGAUGGUUGUCUUUCAGAUCUCUAGAAGAUAAAAACACAGGGUACGCUUAAGGACUCGCACUACAAGCUUAAUUGUAUUUUGUGUGGUCCUUUCUGUAAGUUCAGUCAAGCUGCGUCUUCGAGCUGAUGAAGCUCUUUCCUUUUGCACACUUCAGCAGUGGGUGUUUUUCCCUGCUGUUGAGAUGGGAACGUUUUGGGUGGAGCGAGAGUGCUUUUGGUUAGCUUGUGGCAUAAGGGGUAUAGGGCCAUCACACCUGAGUGUGGCUCCUGUCCUCCCUCUGGCAGCAGAGUAUCCUUUGCUGCAUCCCCAUCAUCAUUCUCUUCCUCAGCUGUCUUUCUGCCAGCAGCUUUCUCUAAAAUACCUGUUUAUGUUUUUUCCCCUCUGGUCUUGACCUGUAGAGCCAUCUUGGUGAGGGAGCAUGUGCACAUAGCUGGGGCACUGAACAAGGUGCAUGGGGAGGCUCAGGAUUCAAAACCGCAUACUUGAGCAGGCUGGGAAGGCUCGUAGCUUCCAAGGUACCUGGCUGGAUGAAUGUGAGCAUUUCUGGUUACGUCCUGAAUGGUUCUGCAGGUUGUGGUUCUGCAGGAGGGAUGUGGCUGGCUGCACGGGUCCUCCAGGUCUUCUGCUGACGUGCCUCAAGCACAUGGCUUGAUGCUGGGAAGUUGAUCUCAAAUCAAAGCACGCGGGGAUGUUGUUCCAUUUUAGGCUCAGUUUUCAUUUAUAGAAGUAGAGUCACCCGUUGUGGCAUCACAAGAAAAGACGGUGCUUUUUCAGCAUGAAUGCUAAAUGCCUCUGCUCUUUGCCAGCUAGACUACCUCUAGCUCACAGCCUCCAGCCACUCUCUGGCCAGAUGCUCUUGUCCUCUUUCCUGAUGCGUCAGUGUUGUUUUAGUUUUGUGCUUUGCUCCUGCCUGCACUGGGGAUGUUAAGGGAAAGUCCAACUUCUGUCACCAUGACCUUGAGGUCAGUGUUCAUCCUUGCCUGUGGACCGACCCCGGGAUCCUGUGUGGCCAUCUGCCUUGUUGUCUGGCUGUGCAGAUCCUGCAGGCAGGCUGCGGUGCUGGGAGCCGCAGUGGGGCCCUGUGGGAAGGCAGCCAUGCAGGCUGCUCACAGCGAAGGCAUGAGUCAGCGCUGCUUAAGGCAGUCAGCUUUCUUGCUGUGUGCAUCACAAUUUGAAGUGUUUGUUCUUCAUUUUAUUUUGGUAGAGUUCAGCUUUAGUAGUGAGUCACGAAGUGUUGCCAGUAUUCCCAUACGGGAUGGCUUGGAAGGAGUGGGAACGUGAGCAUCAUGGUGCGAUCUCAGUAGUGCUCGUUGCAGUGAAGCUCUUCGCCACCACCUCUCAAGUGCAUGGUUUCUCCAUCACCUUAAGUUAACCGUCACAGAAGCAUCCAUGCUGUUCCCACUGCCUUCCUGCACUGGGUUGUUGUGUUUGAGCAACUGACCUCGCAGGAGCAGGCGUUUGUGUUGUCCUGCUGCCUCCAUCCUUGCAUCAGCAGGAAUGCUUGUGUGGCUUGCACAGGGAAUGGCACUGGGAGCCUGAUCUGAGUUGAACCAAUGCAGCAGAGGAGUAUCUUGAUGCAGUUUAUCAUGCAGCUGCAUGAGUUGUCUUGCAGCUGCAAGAGGUGAGGGUGCUCAUGCAAUGCUGUGCCUUGGGUAUGGGGUGUCUUUUGUGUAUUUUUGCAGAACCUGGUGUCUCAUCCCAGAGUUUGAAACUGCUUAAAACUGUGACUGAACAGAGUUGUCCUCCCUGCCCCUGUUCUUCCAUACACAUGUGUAUGUGUAUGCCUGAUGUUCUCCCACCUUAGUUAGUGCUGGCCAUCUCCUCAGCUCCGGGGGAGGUCUGGUAAGACAUUAACUUCAGCUGGGGGUCUGUGACAUCCUCUGGCUGGAUCUUGGAGCACAUAACCC